UGCAGGUCUGCCUUUCUUGUGGGUAACUGC
rnacentral:piRNA from 1 species